rnacentral:rRNA from 1 species
GACGAACGCUGGCGGCGUGCCUAAUACAUGCAAGUUGAGCGAUGAAGAUUGGUGCUUGCCCCAAUUUGAAGAGCAGCGAACGGGCGAGUAACGCGUGGGGAAUCUGCCUUUGAGCGGGGGACAACAUUUGGAAACGAAUGCUAAUACCGCAUAACAACUUUAAACAUAAGUUUUAAGUUUGAAAGAUGCAAUUGCAUCACUCAAAGAUGAUCCCGCGUUGUAUUAGCUAGUUGGUGAGGUAAAGGCUCACCAAGGCGAUGAUACAUAGCCGACCUGAGAGGGUGAUCGGCCACAUUGGGACUGAGACACGGCCCAAACUCCUACGGGAGGCAGCAGUAGGGAAUCUUCGGCAAUGGACGAAAGUCUGACCGAGCAACGCCGCGUGAGUGAAGAAGGUUUUCGGAUCGUAAAACUCUGUUGGUAGAGAAGAACGUUGGUGAGAGUGGAAAGCUCAUCAAGUGACGGUAACUACCCAGAAAGGGACGGCUAACUACGUG